AUCCUUUUGUGGUUCAUAUGGUGAUGAUUAGGUAUUCACUCUAUUGUGUGAAAGGUGCCUCCUUCAAACCUUGUUAUAACAUCGGGAUAUUACCCAUCUGAUG